rnacentral:rRNA from 1 species
AGUGAACGCUGGCGGUAGGCCUAACACAUGCAAGUCGAACGGCAGCACAGUAAGAGCUUGCUCUUACGGGUGGCGAGUGGCGGACGGGUGAGGUAUACAUCGGAAUCUACUUUUUCGUGGGGGAUAACGUAGGGAAACUUACGCUAAUACCGCAUACGACCUACGGGUGAAAGCAGGGGAUCUUCGGACCUUGCGCGAUUGAAUGAGCCGAUGUCGGAUUAGCUAGUUGGCGGGGUAAAGGCCCACCAAGGCGACGAUCCGUAGCUGGUCUGAGAGGAUGAUCAGCCACACUGGAACUGAGACACGGUACAGACUCCUACGGGAGGCAGCAGUGGGGAAUAUUGGACAAUGGGCGCAAGCCUGAUCCAGCCAUACCGCGUGGGUGAAGAAGGCCUUCGGGUUGUAAAGCCCUUUUGUUGGGAAAGAAAAGCAGCAGGUUAAUACCCCGCUGUUCUGACGGUACCCAAAGAAUAAGCACCGGCUAACUUCGUG